CGAAUGCUGUGAAGAAGGCCUGCGGGUUGUAAAGCACUUUCAGUGGGGAAGAAAGCCUCGGGGCGAAUACCCUCGGGGGUUGACGUUACCCACAGAAUGAACAGCACCGGCUAACUCCGUGCCAGCAGGUCCGCGGUAAUACGGAGGGUGCAAGCGUUAAUCGGAAUCACUGGGCGUAAAGCGCACGUAGGCGGAUACGUAACUCUGAUCUGAAAGCCCGGGGGUAAACCCCCGAGCGGGA
rnacentral:rRNA from 1 species